GCCCCGCUGCAGCCGUCGUGUUGGACGGAGAGGAGGGUGAGGUUCCAUGCCGCCUCGCUGCAGCCGUCGUAGACCAGUGAGAGGGGGCGAGGUUUCAUGCCGCCCCGCUGCAGCAGUAGUGUCAACGGAGAGGGGGCGAGGUCCCAUGCCGCCCCGCUGCUGCCGUUAUGUUCGACGGAGAGGGGGCGAGGUCCAAUGCCGCCCUGCUGCAGCCGUUGUGUCAACGGAGAGGGGGCGAGGUCCCAUGCCGCCCCGCUGCAGUAACAGUGUCAACGGAGAGGGGCGAGGUUUCAUGUCGCCCCGCUGCAGCCGUCGUGUUUGACGGAGAGGAGGGCGAGGUCCAAUGCCGCCCCGAUGCAGCAAUAGUAUCAACGGAGAGGGGGCGAGGUCCCAUGCCGCCCCGCUGCUGCCGUUUUUAUUCGUCGGAGAGAGGGGAAGGUCGCAUUCCGUCCCCAGUUGCAGCACCGACGUGUUGUUCCCGACGUGAAGGGCGAAAUGUGUGCCGUCCUUGCUGCAGCAAUUGUACCACUGCUACAGGAUGCCAUAACGAGCUGCUGGGAUAUGCUCUUCAGCCGGAUGAGGCUUGCGGGACAAACCGGUCGCCGCCGGAGAGAUCGCCAGCAGCAGCGUAGCAGCGUGCGGAACGAGUUGCUGGGUAAUGCUCUCCUGCCGGAUGAGGCUAGCGGGACAUUACGGUCGCCGCCGGGGAGAUUUCCUGCAACGUCGUAGCAGCGUUGCGGUAGCCGGGUAGCGGGGUCGCAGCUUAGGAGCAGCAUUUGCGCAAAAAUGCCCCAGGACAAGGGUCUAUGGCCGGAGGGUGUCACCACACCGAUAUUCCCGCAAUGGAAUAUGCGCGUGUCGGUUCGACCCCCUCCGGAUAAGUAAAAGGGGGAGAUGUUGUGGGCAGCCGUGCCGACCCCUGGACUUGCCGUGGUAGUUGUGCUGCCACUGGUCAAUGUCCAGGGGACGACAGUGUGUCACGCACACUGUCGUACGCACACUAAGCGCGGGCCGCUUAGUGUGUGUUGUGCGCUCGGACAAGCAGGUGUUGCGAGCAGCCGGUCGAGCAGGGCUCCCGGCAGGGCACGGUACGGCUGGCGCGCGGCCGAGUAUUUUAUUGUGUAUUGUGCUUGUCAGUGUUAUUUAUUAUGUGUACUGUAAUAUUAGUGUUUUAAUAAACUACCUGAUGUAACCCAAAGACACAACAGUGGCGACGAGGAUGGGAUCCUCUUGCGUAAGGAGGAUCCCUAGAAGAACCCGCGGUCACCAUCGCGAUCGAGCGCGUCGGUUGGAGCCGGCGCCAUCGCGAUGGCACGGAUCCCCGCGACAGUGGGACGCCGUUCGACAAGGACCGCUGCCGCCGCCGCCGUUAAGACCGUGGCCCCGGCUGUCGUCCCGCGAUGGGGACAGAAGGAACAGCCGCACACACACACUCGGCGAUGUUUGAUUCGCCGGGCUGCAGGCCCAGGGAGCGCCGGCAAUGGAAAGGUCGAAGCCUGAUUGCCGGGCCAUCUGCGGCGACGCUAGGUGUCGUCGGGCUGCAGCCCAAGGAGCGCCGGCAGUGUAAGAGGGGAAUUGUCUUUCUGCCUAGCUGCCGGGCCAUCAUUGGUGACGCGAGAGGUCACUGAGUUGCUGCCGCUGUGUUCGACGGAGAGGGGGCGAGAUGCCAUGCCCCGCUGCAGCCGUCGUGUUGGACGGAGAGGAGGGUGAGGUUCCAUGCCGCCUCGCUGCAGCCGUCGUAGACCAGUGAGAGGGGGCGAGGUUUCAUGCCGCCCCGCUGCAGCAGUAGUGUCAACGGAGAGGGGGCGAGGUCCCAUGCCGCCCCGCUGCAGCCGUCGUAGAACAGUGAGAGGGGGCGAUGUCGCAUGCCGCCCCGCUACUGCUGUUGCGUUCAACGGAGAGGGGGCGAGGUCCCAUGCCGCCCCGCUGCUGCCGUUAUGUUCGACGGAGAGGGGGCGAGGUCCAAUGCCGCCCUGCUGCAGCCGUUGUGUCAACGGAGAGGGGGCGAGGUCCCAUGCCGCCCCGCUGCAGUAACAGUGUCAACGGAGAGGGGCGAGGUUUCAUGUCGCCCCGCUGCAGCCGUCGUGUUUGACGGAGAGGAGGGCGAGGUCCAAUGCCGCCCCGAUGCAGCAAUAGUAUCAACGGAGAGGGGGCGAGGUCCCAUGCCGCCCCGCUGCUGCCGUUUUUAUUCGUCGGAGAGAGGGGAAGGUCGCAUUCCGUCCCCAGUUGCAGCACCGACGUGUUGUUCCCGACGUGAAGGGCGAAAUGUGUGCCGUCCUUGCUGCAGCAAUUGUACCACUGCUACAGGAUGCCAUAACGGGCUGCUGGGAUAUGCUCUUCAGCCGGAUGAGGCUUGCGGGACAAACCGGUCGCCGCCGGAGAGAUCGCCAGCAGCAGCGUAGCAGCGUGCGGAACGAGUUGCUGGGUAAUGCUCUCCUGCCGGAUGAGGCUAGCGGGACAUUACGGUCGCCGCCGGGGAGAUUUCCUGCAACGUCGUAGCAGCGUUGCGGUAGCCGGGUAGCGGGGUCGCAGCUUAGGAGCAGCAUUUGCGCAAAAAUGCCCCAGGACAAGGGUCUAUGGCCGGAGGGUGUCACCACACCGAUAUUCCCGCAAUGGAAUAUGCGCGUGUCGGUUCGACCCCCUCCGGAUAAGUAAAAGGGGGAGAUGUUGUGGGCAGCCGUGCCGACCCCUGGACUUGCCGUGGUAGUUGUGCUGCCACUGGUCAAUGUCCAGGGGACGACAGUGUGUCACGCACACUGUCGUACGCACACUAAGCGCGGGCCGCUUAGUGUGUGUUGUGCGCUCGGACAAGCAGGUGUUGCGAGCAGCCGGUCGAGCAGGGCUCCCGGCAGGGCACGGUACGGCUGGCGCGCGGCCGAGUAUUUUAUUGUGUAUUGUGCUUGUCAGUGUUAUUUAUUAUGUGUACUGUAAUAUUAGUGUUUUAAUAAAGUACCUGAGAAA